rnacentral:snRNA from 1 species
GUGCUCAUUUUGAGCAAAACAUAUGUUAAAAUUGGAAAAUUAUACUAAAAUUAGCAUGGCCCCUGCACAAGAAUAACAUAUAAAUUUGUGAAGCAUUCCAUAUCUUU